rnacentral:rRNA from 1 species
UACAGAGGUGGCAAGCGUUGUUCGGAAUUACUGGGCGUAAAGCGCGUGUAGGCGGCUCUUCAAGUCAGGCGUGAAAGCCCCAGGCUCAACCUGGGAACUGCGCUUGAUACUGUCGAGCUAGAGUGUGGAAGGGGCGAUUGGAAUUCCGUGUGUAGCGGUGAAAUGCGUAGAUAUACGGAGGAACACCAGAGGCGAAGGCGGAUCGCUGGGCCAACACUGACGCUGAGACGCGAAAGCUAGGGUAGCAAACGGG